rnacentral:pre_miRNA from 1 species
UGUUAAAAAUUUUAACUAUUUGUAUUAAUAACAACUGACGUGGUGGACAGAAUAAUUAUGUCACGUGUAUUUCAUACUAAGAAGUAUGGAUAAGUUUUAACAAUACAAAUUGAUGGAAUUUUUAAUA